GGUUAAGCGACUAAGCGUACACGGUGGAUGCCCUGGCAGUCAGAGGCGAUGAAGGACGUGCUAAUCUGCGAAAAGCGCCGGCGAGGUGAUAUGAACCCUUGACCCGGCGAUGUCCGAAUGGGGAAACCCAGUGCAAUCCGUUGCACUAUCGUUAACUGAAUACAUAGGUUAACGAGGCGAACCGGGGGAACUGAAACAUCUAAGUACCCCGAGGAAAAGAAAUCAACCGAGAUUCCCCCAGUAGCGGCGAGCGAACGGGGAGCAGCCCGGAGUCUGAAUCAGCUUGUGUGUUAGUGGAACGGUCUGGAAAGUCCGACGGUACAGGGUGAUAGUCCCGUACACGAAAGCACACUUGCUGUGAACUCGAAGAGUAGGGCGGGACACGUGGUAUCCUGUCUGAAUAUGGGGGGACCAUCCUCCAAGGCUAAAUACUCCUGACUGACCGAUAGUGAACCAGUACCGUGAGGGAAAGGCGAAAAGAACCCCGGCGAGGGGAGUGAAAAAGAACCUGAAACCGUGUACGUACAAGCAGUGGGAGCCUCUUUAUGGGGUGACUGCGUACCUUUUGUAUAAUGGGUCAGCGACUUAUAUUCUGUAGCAAGGUUAACCGUAUAGGGGAGCCGCAGGGAAACCGAGUCUUAACUGGGCGUUAAGUUGCAGGGUAUAGACCCGAAACCCGGUGAUCUAGCCAUGGGCAGGUUGAAGGUUGGGUAACACUAACUGGAGGACCGAACCGACUAAUGUUGAAAAAUUAGCGGAUGACUUGUGGCUGGGGGUGAAAGGCCAAUCAAACCGGGAGAUAGCUGGUUCUCCCCGAAAGCUAUUUAGGUAGCGCCUCGUGAACUCAUCUUCGGGGGUAGAGCACUGUUUCGGCUAGGGGGUCAUCCCGACUUACCAACCCGAUGCAAACUACGAAUACCGAAGAAUGUUAUCACGGGAGACACACGGCGGGUGCUAACGUCCGUCGUGAAGAGGGAAACAACCCAGACCGCCAGCUAAGGUCCCAAAGUCAUGGUUAAGUGGGAAACGAUGUGGGAAGGCACAGACAGCCAGGAUGUUGGCUUAGAAGCAGCCAUCAUUUAAAGAAAGCGUAAUAGCUCACUGGUCGAGUCGGCCUGCGCGGAAGAUGUAACGGGGCUAAACCAUGCACCGAAGCUGCGGCAGCGACACUAUGUGUUGUUGGGUAGGGGAGCGUUCUGUAAGCCGUUGAAGGUGUGCUGUGAGGCAUGCUGGAGGUAUCAGAAGUGCGAAUGCUGACAUAAGUAACGAUAAAGCGGGUGAAAAGCCCGCUCGCCGGAAGACCAAGGGUUCCUGUCCAACGUUAAUCGGGGCAGGGUGAGUCGACCCCUAAGGCGAGGCCGAAAGGCGUAGUCGAUGGGAAACAGGUUAAUAUUCCUGUACUUGGUGUUACUGCGAAGGGGGGACGGAGAAGGCUAUGUCAGCCGGGCGACGGUUGUCCCGGUUUAAGCAUGUAGGCGGAGGUUCCAGGUAAAUCCGGUACCUUAUUAACGCUGAGGUGUGAUGACGAGGCACUACGGUGCUGAAGUGAUAAAUGCCCUGCUUCCAGGAAAAGCCUCUAAGCAUCAGGUAACACGAAAUCGUACCCCAAACCGACACAGGUGGUCAGGUAGAGAAUACCAAGGCGCUUGAGAGAACUCGGGUGAAGGAACUAGGCAAAAUGGUGCCGUAACUUCGGGAGAAGGCACGCUGAUGUGUAGGUGAAGCCCCUGCGGGCGGAGCUGAAAUCAGUCGAAGAUACCAGCUGGCUGCAACUGUUUAUUAAAAACACAGCACUGUGCAAACACGAAAGUGGACGUAUACGGUGUGACGCCUGCCCGGUGCCGGAAGGUUAAUUGAUGGGGUUAGCGGCAACGAGAAGCUCUUGAUCGAAGCCCCGGUAAACGGCGGCCGUAACUAUAACGGUCCUAAGGUAGCGAAAUUCCUUGUCGGGUAAGUUCCGACCUGCACGAAUGGCGUAAUGAUGGCCAGGCUGUCUCCACCCGAGACUCAGUGAAAUUGAACUCGCUGUGAAGAUGCAGUGUACCCGCGGCAAGACGGAAAGACCCCGUGAACCUUUACUAUAGCUUGACACUGAACAUUGAGCCUUGAUGUGUAGGAUAGGUGGGAGGCUUUGAAGCGUGGACGCCAGUCUGCGUGGAGCCAACCUUGAAAUACCACCCUUUAAUGUUUGAUGUUCUAACGUUGGCCCCUGACCGGGGUUGCGGACAGUGUCUGGUGGGUAGUUUGACUGGGGCGGUCUCCUCCCAAAGCGUAACGGAGGAGCACGAAGGUUAGCUAAUCCUGGUCGGACAUCAGGAGGUUAGUGCAAUGGCAUAAGCUAGCUUGACUGCGAGCGUGACGGCGCGAGCAGGUGCGAAAGCAGGUCAUAGUGAUCCGGUGGUUCUGAAUGGAAGGGCCAUCGCUCAACGGAUAAAAGGUACUCCGGGGAUAACAGGCUGAUACCGCCCAAGAGUUCAUAUCGACGGCGGUGUUUGGCACCUCGAUGUCGGCUCAUCACAUCCUGGGGCUGAAGUAGGUCCCAAGGGUAUGGCUGUUCGCCAUUUAAAGUGGUACGCGAGCUGGGUUUAGAACGUCGUGAGACAGUUCGGUCCCUAUCUGCCGUGGGCGCUGGAGAAUUGAGGGGGGCUGCUCCUAGUACGAGAGGACCGGAGUGGACGCAUCACUGGUGUUCGGGUUGUCAUGCCAAUGGCACUGCCCGGUAGCUAAAUGCGGAAGAGAUAAGUGCUGAAAGCAUCUAAGCACGAAACUUGCCCCGAGAUGAGUUCUCCCUGAGACUUUAAGUCUCCUGAAGGAACGUUGAAGACGACGACGUUGAUAGGUCGGGUGUGUAAGCGCAGCGAUGCGUUGAGCUAACCGAUACUAAUGAACCGUGAGGCUUAACCUU
rnacentral:rRNA from 1 species